GCCUCCUGCAGCCGCUGCGCGGGGGCCGCCCAGCUCCGCGGUUCAGCGGCUCUCUGGUGAUAGGCACCCAGCUUCCUCUAACUUGCAGCUACAAUGAACUUCUUUGUGACUGUCCCCUUAUGAACCUGGGCUCAAGUUUCUCUGGGAUGCAUCCCUGAAAUGGAUUACUGGCUCACCUUCAUCUCCAACUCUUUGCCUGGCCUCAGCUUUACUAAGGGGAAACAAAGAGAAAGGAAUUUUGUCUGCACUUAAAUUAGAAGGCAAAAAAGAAAACAUCUCUCCGAGGUGCCAAUAAGAAAUCAACAUCGUCAAAUGACUGAGCCUGUCCAAUGAUUCCCCCUGUCCUAACAAGGCCAGUCCUUGAGGGCUUUGUGCUUUAUUGCACUGUGAGUAUGUAUGUCCCCUUCUGCUAUCUAUGACACUGUGAAACUUCAGAAGUAUCAAUUACAAGAAAAAGUUAAAGCUGAACUUAAACUGACCCUAAGGCAGUCCUGAAGUGAUUUUCCUCCCUCUUUUUCUCUUUCCUCCCAAUUCAAAUUUUGCUUCUCAAAAUUUGACUUUCC